GAUGAACGCUAGCGGCAGGCCUAAUACAUGCAAGUCGAACGGUAAGGCCCUUUCGGGGGUACACGAGUGGCGGACGGGUGCGUAACGCGUAUGCAACAUGCCUUCCAGCGGGGGAUAUACCAGGGAAACUUGGCGCAAUACCCCAUAGAAUUACGGGACCGCAUGGUCUUGUGAUUAAAACUCCGGUGCUGGGAGAUUGGCAUGCGUGACAUUAGCUAGUUGGCGGGGUAACGGCCCACCAAGGCGACGAUGUCUAGCUGGUCUGAGAGGAUGAUCAGCCACACUGGGACUGAGACACGGCCCAGACUCCUACGGGAGGCAGCAGUAGGGAAUAUUGGACAAUGGGGGGAACCCUGAUCCAGCCAUGCCGCGUGAGGGAAGAAGGUCCUCUGGAUUGGUAAACCUCUUUUUGGCAGGAACAAACCUAGCGCUAUACGCGCAGCUGAGGGUACCUGCAGAUAAGCACGGCUAACUCCGUGCCAGCAGCCGCGGUAAACG
rnacentral:rRNA from 1 species